rnacentral:misc_RNA from 1 species
CAAGGGAGUAUCAAAUGAAGCAAGUCCAAAAGCAGAAACUGAAAGCAAGUAGGCAAGGAUUACAAGGCAUGUGAAUAGUGCCCAUAAAUAGUGUUGAUGAACAAUGCAUGUGAAACAAUACUGAUGAACAGUACCCAUGAAUGGUAGGCUCUGAUGCCAUGUUAAGUAUUUAAGAAGAAAAAGAAUAAGAAAGAAAAAAAGGGAGGGAGGAAGGGAGGGAAGAGAACCACCAUAGUUAUUAAAGGCUCAAGGCGCACUA